GUUUUGUUUUUGUUUUUGUUUUGCAGGGGAGGGGAGUAACAGGAAUUGAACAAUCAGGACCUUUAUCACUGAGCCACAUCCUCAGCUCAAUUUUUAAAUUUUUUGAUCUUAAUACAGGGUCUCACUGGGUUUCUUAGGGCCUUUCUAAUUUGUUGAAGCUGGUUUUGAACUUGCAAUCCUCUUGCCUCAGUCUCCUAAACUGCUCAGAUUACAGGCAUUUGCCACCAAACCUGGUUGUCAAUUCAUUUUUUAACAUUUCUUAGAACUAAUUUUAUGUUUAUCAGCAGUUAUAUAUACAUACCACCCUUUUUGAGUUAGUAUGGUUUGUGAAAUUAUUAUCCAUGUGUGUAUUUAGGAUACUCUAGAGGAACAGAAGCAACAGGAAGUAAAAUCAUAAAAAGGGCACUUAUUAGGUUGGCUUUCACAACCAGAAGCUGAAUAGUCUAAAAUGGCUAUCUGCAGGCUGGAGAGCUGGAAGAACCAGUAGCUGUGCAGUCCAAGAGGCUAAAGCCCCAGAACAAGAGGGAUCAAUGGUGCCACCCCAGUCCAAGACUGUUGUCAUCUGGACAAUCACUGCCAGAGUCCACUUUGGAAAAGUGAAGAAGAGAGAAUCUAAUAUUCUCAGAAGUUUGAAAUAGCAAUCAAGAACUCGUUCAGGAACAAUUGAGCUUACAUCUGCUGCUGUUUCCUAGUUCUUCCAACUCUUAAUUCAUCCAAGCCAUCAUCCUAUAGGAUGGUGCUGCCACUUAAUUCUGGUUAUCUCCUUAUCCAACCAAAUUACAAUGUGUCACACAUUUGGUAAAUUUAUUUUUUACAUACUAGUGUCUUAAAGAUAAUAUGUAUUUCCUUUGAAAAUGCAUAGUUGUUGCAUUUUGUAUUUAGGUAAAUAAACUCCCU
rnacentral:lncRNA from 1 species